rnacentral:rRNA from 1 species
GAGGCUGGUAUGAAUGGUUAGACGGAGAGUUGACUGUCUCUUCAAAAUUUUAAGAAUUUAAAUUCUAGGUUAAAAUGCCUAGAUAUUAUUGAAAGACGAGAAGACCCUAGCGAGCUUUAUUUUUAACGCUAGAAAUAAGUAGAUGUUUAAACUUUUGUUGGGGCGACUGAGGAGAUGGAGCUUCCUUUAUAAAAUGAAAAAUAAUGGUUAAGGAUCCAGUGUAAUUACUGAAAAACAGGGGAGCUACCGUAGGGAUAACAGCGUAAUCCUUUUAGAGAGUUCUUAUCGAAAAAAGUGUUUGCGACCUCGAUGUUGGACUAGGAUAUCCUAAAGGUGUAGAGGCUUUUAAGGGUUGGUCUGUUCGACCAAUAAAAUCCUACAUGAUCUGAGUUCAGACCGGA